UACGUAGGGGGCUAGCGUUGUCCGGAAUCAUUGGGCGUAAAGCGCGUGUAGGCGGUCCGGUAAGUCCGCUGUGAAAGUCGGGGGCUCAACCCUCGGAUGCCGGUGGAUACUGUCGGGCUUGAGUACGGAAGAGGCGAGUGGAAUUCCUGGUGUAGCGGUGAAAUGCGCAGAUAUCAGGAGGAACACCAAUUGCGAAGGCAGCUCCGCUGGGACGUUACUGACGCUGAGACGCGAAAGCGUGGGGAGCAAACAGGG
rnacentral:rRNA from 1 species